rnacentral:rRNA from 1 species
UAGGGAAUCUUCGGCAAUGGACGAAAGUCUGACCGAGCAACGCCGCGUGAGUGAAGAAGGUUUUCGGAUCGUAAAACUCUGUUGUUAGAGAAGAACAAGGACGUUAGUAACUGAACGUCCCCUGACGGUAUCUAACCAGAAAGCCACGGCUAACUACGUGCCAGCAGCCGCGGUAAUACGUAGGUGGCAAGCGUUGUCCGGAUUUAUUGGGCGUAAAGCGAGCGCAGGCGGUUUCUUAAGUCUGAUGUGAAAGCCCCCGGCUCAACCGGGGAGGGUCAUUGGAAACUGGGAGACGUGAGUGCAGAAGAAGAGAGUGGAAUUCCAUGUGUAGCGGUGAAAUGCGUAGAUAUAUGGAGGAACACCAGUGGCGAAGGCGGCUCUCUGGUCUGUAACUGACGCUGAGGCUAGAAAGCGUGGGGAGCAAACAGG